GGAGGUAGUGACAAUAAAUCACAAUGCGGAACUUCUGUUUUGCAAUUGGAUUGAGAACAACGCACAACAUUUAUCGAUAAACAAUUGGAGGGCAAGUCUGGCGCCAGCAGCCGCGGUAAUUCCAGCUCCAAUAGCGUAUAUUAACGUUGUUGCAGUUAAAAAGCUCGUAGUUGAAGUGAAGUGUGAAUCUCUUGGAUUUUCGUUUGAAUUUCCUUUAGCUUCAUACUCUUUCCAAAUAGUUUGCAUGGGUAUUUACUUAUCUGUGUAUUGCAUUUGGUCAUUUACUGUGAGAAAAUUAGAGUGUUCAAAGCAUACGUUUGUUUGAAUACAUUAGCAUGGAAUAAUUCGAAAAGGCUUUCAUGUUCGAUUUGAUUGGUUUGUUCGUGAAGGCAAGAUUAAAAGGGACAGUUGGGGGUAUUCAUAUUCAAUAGUCAGAGGUGAAAUUCUCGGAUUUAUGGAAGAUGAACAAGUGCGAAAGCA
rnacentral:rRNA from 1 species